UACGUAGGUGGCGAGCGUUAUCCGGAUUUAUUGGGUUUAAAGGGUGCGUAGGCGGCUUUUUAAGUCGGUGGUUAAAGGUAGCAGCUCAACUGUUUUACAUGCUGCCGAUACUGAAGAGCUUGAGUUAUUGGAAGGCAGAUGGAAUUCCUGGUGUAGCGGUGAAAUGCAUAGAUACCAGGAGGAACACCGAUUGCGAAGGCAUUCUGCUGCAAAUAUACUGACGCUGAGGCACGAAAGCGUGGGGAUCAAACAGG
rnacentral:rRNA from 1 species